GACGAACGCUGGCGGCGUGCUUAACACAUGCAAGUCGAACGAUGAAGCGGUGCUUGCACCGUGGAUUAGUGGCGAACGGGUGAGUAAUACGUGAGUGACCUACCUUUGACUCUGGGAUAAGCCUGGGAAACUGGGUCUAAUACCGGAUACGACCAAUCUCUGCAUGGGGUGUUGGUGGAAAGCGUUAUGGAGUGGUUUUAGAUGGGCUCACGGCCUAUCAGCUUGUUGGUGAGGUAAUGGCUUACCAAGGCGACGACGGGUAGCCGGCCUGAGAGGGUGACCGGCCACACUGGGACUGAGACACGGCCCAGACUCCUACGGGAGGCAGCAGUGGGGAAUAUUGCACAAUGGGCGCAAGCCUGAUGCAGCGACGCCGCGUGAGGGAUGACGGCCUUCGGGUUGUAAACCUCUGUUAGCAUCGAAGAAGCGAAAGUGACGGUAGGUGCAGAGAAAGCGCCGGCUAACUACGUGCCAGCAGCCGCGGUAAUACAUAUGGCGCGAGCGUUGUCCGGAAUUAUUGGGCGUAAAGAGCUUGUAAGCGGUUGGUCGCGUCUGCUGUGAAGGCCGGGGCUUAACUCCGGUUUUGCAGUGGGUACGGGCUAACUAGAGUGCAGUAGGGGAGACUGGAAUUCCUGGUGUAGCGGUGGAAUGCACAGAUAUCAGGAGGAACACCGAUGGCGAAGGCAGGUCUCUGGGCUGUAACUGACGCUGAGAAGCGAAAGCAUGGGGAGCGAACAGGAUUAGAUACCCUGGUAGUCCAUGCCGUAAACGUUGGGCACUAGGUGUGGGGGACAUUCCACGUUUUCCGCGCCGUAGCUAACGCAUUAAGUGCCCCGCCUGGGGAGUACGGCCGCAAGGCUAAAACUCAAAGGAAUUGACGGGGGCCCGCACAAGCGGCGGAGCAUGCGGAUUAAUUCGAUGCAACGCGAAGAACCUUACCAAGGCUUGACAUGCAUUAGAUCGCGUCAGAGAUGGCGUUUCCCUUCGGGGCUGGUGUACAGGUGGUGCAUGGUUGUCGUCAGCUCGUGUCGUGAGAUGUUGGGUUAAGUCCCGCAACGAGCGCAACCCUCGUUCUAUGUUGCCAGCGGUUCGGCCGGGGACUCAUAGGAGACUGCCGGGGUCAACUCGGAGGAAGGUGGGGAUGACGUCAAAUCAUCAUGCCCCUUAUGUCUUGGGCUUCACGCAUGCUACAACGGCCGGUACAGAGGGUUGCGAUACUGUGAGGUGGAGCUAAUCCCUUAAAGCCGGUCUCAGUUCGGAUUGGGGUCUGCAACUCGACCCCAUGAAGUCGGAGUCGCUAGUAAUCGCAGAUCAGCAACGCUGCGGUGAAUACGUUCCCGGGCCU
rnacentral:rRNA from 1 species